rnacentral:tRNA from 1 species
GGUGUAGCCCAGUGGUAGAGCAGUUGCCUGGCAAACAUGAGGAUCUGGGUUCAAUCCCUAGUACC